GAGGGCAGAGCAGCGUCUCCAGUGUCCAGCUGUCUGUCCAUGAAGAGCGACCGGUCUAAAGAGCCACCUCUAACCUUCAGUGUUGAACCUGGACCUUCAGACACAAAAGGUUCCUACCACAGAGCAGAGUCUGCAGUGUCCAGCUGUCUGUCCAUGAAGAGCGACUGGUCUAAAGAGCCACCUCUAACCUUCAGUGCUGAACCUGGACCUUCAGACACAAAAGGUUCCUACCGCAGAGCACAGUCUGCAGUGUCCAGCUGUCUGUCC